rnacentral:lncRNA from 1 species
CACACUUACACACACACAUGCUGAUUUCUAGCCUUUUAAUUUUCAAAAACGUCCAUCCUCAUGUCUCCAUGCUUGCACUAUCCAAUCUUGGCCCAAAAAUGCUCCAAAGUGCUCCAAAUAGCACUUUGUUGCCAACUUUGUUAUUUGAACCUACAAACACACGAAAAUAGCUUAAAGUACUAAAAUAACUAGAAUAAACUAAGUAAAUGCCAAGAAACAAGCUCACUAAGUUGCAUAAAUAUGCUCCUAUCAGGGGGGUGGUUCGGCCACUAGGGGUAAAAACACCCUAAAAACAUGUCUAGAAGAAUAAAACUUAUACAUCUAUAGGAGCUGAUGCCUCCUGCAAAUCUGAUAUCUCCAUGGAUGUAAUAACAUCUUCGGGAUGUUCCACAUUAGCAAACUUAGACUCACGACGGGAAUGAUACUUAGCAAUGGCCUUGGGGGUAGCUCUGCAUACACUUGAUCAAUGAUCAUUUGAUCCACAGUAGUAGCAUAUGUCCAUUUCAGUGGAAGUCGAUUGAACGGUAGAUUUUCCUUUGUUCUUGAAGUUUAGGGCCUUAGAUCCAAGGGUUAGCGAUUAUGGGUCAAAUUUCCUCCCUUGGGUGGGCCUUGGCUCUAUUGACCUUGGGCCCAUGGGUGGGCUUGCUGCCUAUUACCACGGCCACGGCGAUGUUUUCAUCAUUUGUUGCUGCUAUAAUUGGUCGCAUGCAUUUUAGGCGCAAUGUUCGAGCCAAUAGGUUGAGCUUGAUGAUUUUUUUUAUUAAAAGCUGGUUCUGCUUUUCAGUGAGAAGUAAAACAGAGAUUAAAUCCAAAAAUUUGGUGAACUUCUAUACCCUAUAUUGUUGCUGCAACACAAUAUUGGUGGUAUGGAAGGUCGAAUAGAUAGUCUCCAGGAGAUUUGCAUCUGUUAAGUCCACUUUACAGAACUUAAGUAGUGAUCGGAUUUUACAAACUUCAUAUUUGUAUUCAUUCACGAGCUUAAAGUCUUGGAAGCAUGGAUGCUGCCAGUCGUGUCUUGCUUCAGGAAAGUAAAUGUCUUUCUAAUGAUCGAAACGAUCGGCCAGAGCAAGCCAAAGGGUGUGGGGGUCAUCCUUAGCGAGGUACUUAGUCUGCAGUGCAUCAUGGAUGUGUCUUCAAAUGAAGAUCAUUGCAGUAGCUUUCUGAGCUUCAUCGACGGGUUUGGCAUCGGUAGGUUCCUCAAUGAUGGCUCUAAUACCCUUUGCAGUAAAAUAGAGCUUCACGUCUUGAACCCACUUCAGAUAGUUUGUUCUAGAUACUUGCAAAGUGGUGAAAUCGAGCUUGCUCAAGUUCCACAUGUCCUUAAAACGAAAGGUACAAUAAAACAUGGUUAGUCAUAUGGUAAUCUAUAGACGUACAUCGUAGAACAUUCGGGGUUCUAUAGACAUGUAUUGGUUUAAUUUAAACAUGAAAGCUACAGGUUUCAUGUGGUAAGUUUUGAAUGAAAACUUUGGGUUUCAAAGGCACUAAAUAUGAAACUAUAGGUUCAAUUUAGUUUUAUGAACGAUUAGUUGGUAAAUGAGAUGUUCCUGAUUGGCAAAUUUUAAUAUGCUGAUUUAAAUGUAGUAGAUUUGAGUUGCUACGAGUACUCAAGUGUGAGAGUUUCGAGAUUACGAAAGGAUAUCAAUGGUUCAAAGUAGAAAAAUAAAUUAUUGAAUCAUUAAUGUCCAAAAGUGAUAUUCAAGUCAAUAAUUUUGAAUUAAUUAUUAGAUUAAUGGACUGCAAGUCACUUUUAAUUAAUUCAAUAGAUUGGGACUAAACGGGGUUGAUUGUGGAAGCAAAAUAAUGACAGACGGGUCAUAUUAGCUUGGGUUGGUGAUAAACCAAGUGAUAAUUAAGUUAGAAUUAAUUAGCGUAAACCAAAGUACCCUAAAAAAUAUAUAUUUGGGCAUGAUUUAUAAUGCGGGGAUGCCAAAAAUUGAAAUUGGGUUAAAAAAAUAAAGCGGCCCAGCCAAAAGUAGGCUGGCUGGGAUGUGGGGACAGGCCCUCC